rnacentral:rRNA from 1 species
GUAACCUGCCUGUAAGACUGGGAUAACUCCGGGAAACCGGGGCUAAUACCGGAUGGUUGUUUGAACCGCAUGGUUCAGACAUAAAAGGUGGCUUCGGCUACCACUUACAGAUGGACCCGCGGCGCAUUAGCUAGUUGGUGAGGUAACGGCUCACCAAGGCAACGAUGCGUAGCCGACCUGAGAGGGUGAUCGGCCACACUGGGACUGAGACACGGCCCAGACUCCUACGGGAGGCAGCAGUAGGGAAUCUUCCGCAAUGGACGAAAGUCUGACGGAGCAACGCCGCGUGAGUGAUGAAGGUUUUCGGAUCGUAAAGCUCUGUUGUUAGGGAAGAACAAGUGCCGUUCAAAUAGGGCGGCACCUUGACGGUACCUAACCAGAAAGCCACGGCUAACUACGUGCCAGCAGCCGCGGUAAUACGUAGGUGGCAAGCGUUGUCCGGAAUUAUUGGGCGUAAAGGGCUCGCAGGCGGUUUCUUAAGUCUGAUGUGAAAGCCCCCGGCUCAACCGGGGAGGGUCAUUGGAAACUGGGGAACUUGAGUGCAGAAGAGGAGAGUGGAAUUCCACGUGUAGCGGUGAAAUGCGUAGAGAUGUGGAGGAACACCAGUGGCGAAGGCGACUCUCUGGUCUGUAACUGACGCUGAGGAGCGAAAGCGUGGGGAGCGAACAGGAUUAGAUACCCUGGUAGUCCACGCCGUAAACGAUGAGUGCUAAGUGUUAGGGGGGUUUCCGCCCCUUUAGUGCUGCAGCUAACGCAUUAAGGCACUCCGCCUGGGCGAGUACGGGACGGCAAGACUGAAAACUCUAAGGAAUUGACGGUGGCCCCGCAACAAU